rnacentral:rRNA from 1 species
AUGUUACCAGAUGGUAGCAGUUCAGAGGCAACACUGCCGGAGAGCAGUCUGAGCACAGAUAUUAUAGUUCUUGAGGCUCUACUAGAGGCAGAAAGAGAUGGCCUGGCUGCCAUGAAUGAGGUAAUCUCAAUCUUGAAGCUGGAAAUUAUGCAAUUAGCUGCACGCAUUAUGCAAGCAACCAAAGAAUUGGAGGAAGUAAGAAUGUUGCAUUUGAAGACGGAGGAGGUCCUGCUGCUUCUGCUAUCUGAAGCCCGGGGUAAUCCCAGUUCUUCUUUAGAUAGCAGUUGA